UUUUUAUGUCUAAGUGACUGAUGGAAACAACAAUCUUUGACAUUGGUCCAAUAUUAACACAGAUCGCUGCAGUGGGCAGCAGUGAAACAAGCUACAAUGAAAGAUAAUAGGGUAAUUAUCCAGCUUGUAUUUAUCUACACAAAAGUGCUGUUUUUGCCACCGACAGGCUCAGAUUAAUAUUCU